GCCUACCAUGCAAGUCGAGCGGUAACAGAUCCAGCUUGCUGGAUGCUGACGAGCGGCGGACGGGUGAGUAAUGCAUAGGAAUCUGCCCGAUAGUGGGGGAUAACCUGGGGAAACCCAGGCUAAUACCGCAUACGUCCUACGGGAGAAAGGGGGCUCCGGCUCCCGCUAUGGGAUGAGCCUAUGUCGGAUUAGCUAGUUGGUGAGGUAACGGCUCACCAAGGCCACGAUCCGUAGCUGGUCUGAGAGGAUGAUCAGCCACAUCGGGACUGAGACACGGCCCGAACUCCUACGGGAGGCAGCAGUGGGGAAUAUUGGACAAUGGGGGCAACCCUGAUCCAGCCAUGCCGCGUGUGUGAAGAAGGCCCUCGGGUUGUAAAGCACUUUCAGCGAGGAAGAACGCCUAGCGGUUAAUACCCGCUAGGAAAGACAUCACUCGCAGAAGAAGCACCGGCUAACUCCGUGCCAGCAGCCGCGGUAAUACGGAGGGUGCAAGCGUUAAUCGGAAUUACUGGGCGUAAAGCGCGCGUAGGUGGCUUGAUAAGCCGGUUGUGAAAGCCCCGGGCUCAACCUGGGAACGGCAUCCGGAACUGUCAAGCUAGAGUGCAGGAGAGGAAGGUAGAAUUCCCGGUGUAGCGGUGAAAUGCGUAGAGAUCGGGAGGAAUACCAGUGGCGAAGGCGGCCUUCUGGACUGACACUGACACUGAGGUGCGAAAGCGUGGGUAGCAAACAGGAUUAGAUACCCUGGUAGUCCACGCCGUAAACGAUGUCGACCAGCCGUUGGGUGCCUAGCGCACUUUGUGGCGAAGUUAACGCGAUAAGUCGACCG
rnacentral:rRNA from 1 species